rnacentral:rRNA from 1 species
UACGAAGGGGGCUAGCGUUGCUCGGAAUUACUGGGCGUAAAGCGCACGUAGGCGGCUUUCUAAGUCGGGGGUGAAAUCCUGGAGCUCAACUCCAGAACUGCCUUCGAUACUGGAGAGCUCGAGUCCGGGAGAGGUGAGUGGAACUGCGAGUGUAGAGGUGAAAUUCGUAGAUAUUCGCAAGAACACCAGUGGCGAAGGCGGCCACCUGGACAACAACUGGACGCUGAGA